rnacentral:misc_RNA from 1 species
UUAAGUUCAGCGGGUAUCCCUACCUGAUCCGAGGUCAAAAGUGAUAAAAAGGCUUGAUGGACGCAAGUGUUACAGGGAGUAAGACGCAAAAUGUGCUGCGCUUAAAACCAAUACACUGGCUGCCAAUUGCUUUGAGGUGAGUCCAAACACAGUGGCAAGGACAAACACCCAACACCAAGCAGAGCUUGAGGGUACAAAUG